rnacentral:rRNA from 1 species
UAAGGUGAUAUGAACCGUUAUAACCGGCGAUUUCCGAAUGGGGAAACCCAGUGUGAUUCGUCACACUAUCAUUAACUGAAUCCAUAGGUUAAUGAGGCGAACCGGGGGAACUGAAACAUCUAAGUACCCCGAGGAAAAGAAAUCAACCGAGAUUCCCCCAGUAGCGGCGAGCGAACGGGGAGCAGCCCAGAGCCUGAAUCAGUGUGUGUGUUAGUGGAAGCGUCUGGAAAGGCGUGCGAUACAGGGUGACAGCCCCGUACACAAAAAUGCACAUACUGUGAGCUCGAUGAGUAGGGCGGGACACGUGGUAUCCUGUCUGAAUAUGGGGGGACCAUCCUCCAAGGCUAAAUACUCCUGACUGACCGAUAGUGAACCAGUACCGUGAGGGAAAGGCGAAAAGAACCCCGGCGAGGGGAGUGAAAAAGAACCUGAAACCGU